AAAAUGAACCACCGACAUAGUAAAUAUUGCAAAAGAAAAUCAAAUGAUUUUACUAAAAAGAAUAGGUUUCUGCUUUUGAACACAUUUUAGAUUAUAGUCCUUAAUUUAUGUGUUAAAGACGGGCAUUUGCAAAUAAAAAUCCAAGGUAAUAUGCUGCUAAAUUUGAACGAAUAUUUCUAAGUAACAACCAACAACUUAUAAAUAUGCUGUUGAAAUGAUCCUUAUUGUGUUGGACUGACAUGCCAGAUCUAGUUAUGAACGUCAGUUGUGCUUGGAACAUUUCAACAGACGUCGUCUUGAUCCUUCUCCUCUGGAAAGGCCACGUGGCAGGUAUAUAGGUGUUCAGACGUUCCUGAGUACUGGACAGACCAUAUUUUCCAGAAUACAUUGACAAGGAAAACGCCAAGGAGUGUGGAGAUGCAUCUCAGAUCUACCUGUCUGUUUCUCUCUUCUUCACCUGUCUCAAGACCUCCACGCUGGUUUCCGAUGACAGACAGACAGCUACCUAGCCUAAACCCCGCCCCUUCUGAAUCGGUAUCUCCCUGGAAUGUUCCAGAAUGCCUGAACUUAGCAUGCCUGCUGCUGUUUGCGUUAUCUUUAUCAAUCAAUAUGACUAUAUGACUUAAGUUAUGAUAUUGAUAAUUUUGGCUGAUGGACUGAGAGGAAUAAGCUGUUGACUGACUCCAUGUUGGAUGACUUUACAAUCACAGAGAGAUGUUGACUGACUCCAUGUUUGAUGACUUUACAAUCACAGAGAGAUGUUGACUUCAUGCUUGAUGACUUUACAAUCACAGAGAGAUGUUGACUUCAGAUGCU